GAGCCACACCUUUGAAAACUCCAAAAAGAGACCCAGCAAGCAACGACAUGAAAACAGUACCCGGGAUCAUGAAGGUCUGCAUGAAAAUGUAGACCAUGCAGUAUCCCACCAGAACCUGUACGGUGUAGUCACUUGUGUAGUCCUCAAGGUGAUCCCUACCAAAGAGAAACAUCCACAAAUCAGAAUCAACAAUCUCCCAUGACAAACUUGAUGAAGUACUUACUAUCCAGCAAGACAUUUCAAAGAACAAGAUUGCUAAAAUUAGAUCCAUGUAAAUUCAUUAAGAAAAUAAUACAAUCGCAUCUCUUUUGUCAAUAGAUAAGUAGUUCAUAAAAUUUCAAUAUCUAUAACUAUCAUAAACUUACAAUAUAGCCAGACAUAUCAAUUAAAGCGCAACAGUUAAUCCAAUUCCAUUUUUAACAUGAUGUGACAGUGGACCAGGAGGCCAUGUUUGCUCAAGUUAUCAGGUCAAGAUAUUGAUGGAUAUCUGCAUCUAACUUGAUGGCUUUCUCAUUCCUUUUAAGAAACUAUUUCAUGUUAGAUGAUUAAACCACAAAAACUUCUUUGACAAUCAUUGGAGGUAACUUAUGAAGGACCCUUUACCAAAUGAAGAGCCACAAAGUUAAAAGCAUGAAAGAAGCAACAAGAUGACCUCCCAUUGCCUCAUUCCUUACAAUCCAAGUCAUUAUCUCUAUACCUUGGAAUGGGUGUACACAACUCAGAUUUAAAGAUCAGAAAAAUCCACAAUGCCUUAUCAGCCAUUCUAGCAUUCUUACCAUGUCCUCAGUCAGGGCAUAGGAAUCUAAAAUCUUCUCAAAUGAAGCUUAAUACAACCCUAUGAUAGAUCCCAUUACGGGAAACCCCCAUUCAGGACCCUAGAGAGUUACCUACUCAAAAUUACAAGAAGCAACUUUCAGAACCAUUUCAAUUCUUUUGGCACCAUGCCUUUGAAAUCAAUACUCUGGUCUUGUAAGCAAACCUCUGUCAAUGAGGUGAAGGCUUGUUUGGUUGCUCAGAAUUAGGUAAUUUUGGAUUUGGGCCCUUCCAAAAAAGAAUUCCAUAAGACCCCCAACUCCACAAAUGCGAAAAACAAAAACAAAUCCAAUGUUGUGCAACCAACACAAGCAAAGGCGUAAAAGAAAUAUUUUUUAAUAGAGGAAAAGAAAUAAGGAGAGGAACCUCUCAACUGCGUUUCUGAUCAUGCAAACAGACGAAACGAGAUCAUAAGAAAGGCAAUAAUAUUAUAACCAUUUUGCGAUAAUUCCAAAUGGGAAACCAUAUCCCUCAGCCCCAUCCCAACCCCAAUUUGAGGUAAUCAAAGAGAAAAAAUAUCAACAAAAAAAAAAAGAGCUUGCAAUGGGUAGCACACAGUUGGAUCUGAUUUGGAACUCCAAUUUCUUAGAAACGAAAAUUACAUGGGGUUCCGUGAAAAUUCAGAUUCCAUUGCAAAGAAAUCCAUUUGUAAGCAACCCAACCAACACAGCCAAAUUGGCAAUGGAGCUUCUGUUUCCACGCAAAACACAAAAACCAAAUCGAAGCAGAGAACCAACACAAAACCCAGAUCCCUCGCAAACUCAAAUACCAAAUCCUUCCAGAGAAAACAUAUUUCUUGGAAACAAACAGAGAAUAAAAAAUACCUGAGAAUCUGGAUAUCUUCAAGGCUGCGAGGCAACUUGAGGAAGCUGUAAUCAGAGGCGGGCAUGGUCAAAUACACACAAGCAAGACCCAACACGAAGGCCCCAACCACCGCAGAUGCCCCUGUCACCUCCCAAAAGGUUAAAGGAAACCUCCCUUCAACAUUCUCUUUGC
rnacentral:lncRNA from 1 species